rnacentral:rRNA from 1 species
GAUGAACGCUGGCGGCGUGCCUAAUACAUGCAAGUCGAGCGAACAGACGAGGAGCUUGCUCCUCUGACGUUAGCGGCGGACGGGUGAGUAACACGUGGAUAACCUACCUAUAAGACUGGGAUAACUUCGGGAAACCGGAGCUAAUACCGGAUAAUAUAUUGAACCGCAUGGUUCAAUAGUGAAAGACGGUUUUGCUGUCACUUAUAGAUGGAUCCGCGCCGCAUUAGCUAGUUGGUAAGGUAACGGCUUACCAAGGCAACGAUGCGUAGCCGACCUGAGAGGGUGAUCGGCCACACUAGAGCUGAGACACGGUCCAGAGUCCUACGAGAGGCAGCAGUAGGGAAUCUUCCGCAAUGGGCGAGAGCCUGACGGAGCAACGCCGCGUGAGUGAUGAAAGUCUUCGGAUCGUAAAACUCUGUUAUUAGGGAAGAACAAAUGUGUAAGUAACUAUGCACGUCUUGACGGUACCUAAUCAGAAAGCCACGGCUAACUACGUG